GUUCUGUGAUUUUCUCUAAAACCAAACUGACAAUCACUUAAUUGUUUGUCAACAAUCUUGAUUAGUCUAUUAUUCAAUAUGGCAUUAAAAUUUUUUGGUAGAUUACUUAUAAGAGAAAUUCCUCUAUAAUUAUUAGGGUCUAACUUGUCACCUUUUUUAUGUAAAGGGAUCAUGAAAGAUAAUUUCCAAGAAUCUGGAUAAUUACCUGUCUUUAAAAUCAAAUUAAAAACUUUUACAAUAGAACUAAUUAUCACAGGUUGUGAGUGUUUGAGUAUUUCAUUCACAAUUCUAUCUGGGCCUGCUGAUUUGUUUAUUUUAAGGUUUGAAAUGACCAAUUUUACCUCAGCAAAUGUAAUUGGUGCAUCAGUUUCCAUAUUCAAUUCAAAAUUAUCUUCUAGAAUGUUUAGUUCACGUUCCAGUUUAUUUACAAAGGAUUUAUCAUAUGAGGCUGGUGUACCCUGAUCCUGAAAAUGUUUUAUGAUUUUAUUUUCAUUCAUUAAAAU
rnacentral:lncRNA from 1 species